rnacentral:tRNA from 1 species
GGGGUUGUGGCUCAGUGGCACACCACUUGCCUAGCACGCAUGAGGCACUGGGUUCGAUUCUCAGCACCACA